rnacentral:rRNA from 1 species
GGUUAAGCGACUAAGCGUACACGGUGGAUGCCCUGGCAGUCAGAGGCGAUGAAGGACGUGCUAAUCUGCGAUAAGCGUCGGUAAGGUGAUAUGAACCGUUAUAACCGGCGAUUUCCGAAUGGGGAAACCCAGUGUGUUUCGACACACUAUCAUUAACUGAAUCCAUAGGUUAAUGAGGCGAACCGGGGGAACUGAAACAUCUAAGUACCCCGAGGAAAAGAAAUCAACCGAGAUUCCCCCAGUAGCGGCGAGCGAACGGGGAGGAGCCCAGAGCCUGAAUCAGUGUGUGUGUUAGUGGAAGCGUCUGGAAAGGCGCGCGAUACAGGGUGACAGCCCCGUACACAAAAAUGCACAUGCUGUGAGCUCGAUGAGUAGGGCGGGACACGUGGUAUCCUGUCUGAAUAUGGGGGGACCAUCCUCCAAGGCUAAAUACUCCUGACUGACCGAUAGUGAACCAGUACCGUGAGGGAAAGGCGAAAAGAACCCCGGCGAGGGGAGUGAAAAAGAACCUGAAACCGUGUACGUACAAGCAGUGGGAGCCUCUUUUAUGGGGUGACUGCGUACCUUUUGUAUAAUGGGUCAGCGACUUAUAUUCUGUAGCAAGGUUAACCGAAUAGGGGAGCCGAAGGGAAACCGAGUCUUAACUGGGCGUUAAGUUGCAGGGUAUAGACCCGAAACCCGGUGAUCUAGCCAUGGGCAGGUUGAAGGUUGGGUAACACUAACUGGAGGACCGAACCGACUAAUGUUGAAAAAUUAGCGGAUGACUUGUGGCUGGGGGUGAAAGGCCAAUCAAACCGGGAGAUAGCUGGUUCUCCCCGAAAGCUAUUUAGGUAGCGCCUCGUGAAUUCAUCUCCGGGGGUAGAGCACUGUUUCGGCAAGGGGGUCAUCCCGACUUACCAACCCGAUGCAAACUGCGAAUACCGGAGAAUGUUAUCACGGGAGACACACGGCGGGUGCUAACGUCCGUCGUGAAGAGGGAAACAACCCAGACCGCCAGCUAAGGUCCCAAAGUCAUGGUUAAGUGGGAAACGAUGUGGGAAGGCCCAGACAGCCAGGAUGUUGGCUUAGAAGCAGCCAUCAUUUAAAGAAAGCGUAAUAGCUCACUGGUCGAGUCGGCCUGCGCGGAAGAUGUAACGGGGCUAAACCAUGCACCGAAGCUGCGGCAGCGACGCUUAUGCGUUGUUGGGUAGGGGAGCGUUCUGUAAGCCUGUGAAGGUGUACUGUGAGGUAUGCUGGAGGUAUCAGAAGUGCGAAUGCUGACAUAAGUAACGAUAAAGCGGGUGAAAAGCCCGCUCGCCGGAAGACCAAGGGUUCCUGUCCAACGUUAAUCGGGGCAGGGUGAGUCGACCCCUAAGGCGAGGCCGAAAGGCGUAGUCGAUGGGAAACAGGUUAAUAUUCCUGUACUUGGUGUUACUGCGAAGGGGGGACGGAGAAGGCUAUGUUGGCCGGGCGACGGUUGUCCCGGUUUAAGCGUGUAGGCUGGUUUUCCAGGCAAAUCCGGAAAAUCAAGGCUGAGGCGUGAUGACGAGGCACUACGGUGCUGAAGCAACAAAUGCCCUGCUUCCAGGAAAAGCCUCUAAGCAUCAGGUAACAUCAAAUCGUACCCCAAACCGACACAGGUGGUCAGGUAGAGAAUACCAAGGCGCUUGAGAGAACUCGGGUGAAGGAACUAGGCAAAAUGGUGCCGUAACUUCGGGAGAAGGC